UCUAGAAACACAGAACUCUGGCAGAGACUCAAACCCAGACCCCACCGGUGUAAGGCGACAGUCCUAACCACUGCGCCACCAGGCUGCUCCCAUUUCUAUACUCUAUCACUAAAGUCGGUACUUUUCUAUCUCAAAAUCAGCCUUCUAUCAUUCAGUUUCACACAGAAUUCCUGAAGCACAUCCUCUCUGAGUCUACAUGUGAAAACUUGAGCAAUUAUUGCGUCAUCCCUGUUAGGUAAUUGUUAAAUGUACAAUCAAGCUCUUCAAACAAAGCUGCCUUUCUGACUGCACUCAAGAAUAAAACCCGGAGAGAAACAUCCUGGAAUCCACACACCUUAAUAUUCAUCAGGAACAUUCCCGAUGUUUGGGAUCCACUAGCGUCCUCGAGCUCGCUGCCCCUUAAAGCACCCACACUUGACUUCAGUUACUUCGAUGAAAGUGGUGUGAAGCAGUACAGACAGAAGAAAACAUCAACAUCCCAGGGAUGGAAAGCUUGAAACGUGGGUAAACACCACGAUCCCUUCCCUCGAGCAGCAUAUUCAGCAUAUUCAUUGUUUAGGUAUUCGCAAUAAAAAUUAUCCUUCAAAAUGACCCAUGUUCACAGAACCAACUGGGAGCCACUUCAUAAACAACCACUGGGGGGCUCCCACCUAGACAAUGUGACGGCAGCCAUUCUGCACCAGUACACUCACCACACAGUGGCUAUGGUAGUGAUGGAGCGGGAGAGAAUUCACUAGUUAGAUAUAGGGGAUGAUUAGGAAGCCAGAUCUGAAAGGCAGUGGGUAAUUUAGCCAGGACAUCGGGGUACCACCCCCAUUCAUUGGAAAGAGGCCAAGGGGACUUAUGAUUUAGAAAGUCAGGAUCUCAGAUUUACAUCCAAAGUAUCGCCCCUUUUUUACAGCAGAGGGUCCCCAUUAUUGCACUGCAGUCCAUUAUAUGGUGUAACCUGCUGGUCACACGAACACCUCAUCCAACAGCACCCCAACUCUUCUAGCUGAUCUCCCACCCAGGUACUGGCCAGGCCCAGACACGCUUAGCUCUAGGUGGAUUACCUGGUCGGAACUGCAGGUGGUACGACUGCUCACAAUUGACGUUUUGACACGCUUGACAUUUAAAGCACACAGAUUAUUUGCACAGUAACCAAAAGAAGAAUGUCAGUAAAAAUAUCUUGUCAGCAAUAAUCUUGACAUAGAAGCAGUUGUGUAUGGCUUCUGCAGCCAGCAGGUGUUGGGAAUAAUGUAUUACACUCAUCGACUGUCCCUUCGCCUGAUUUUCACCAUGGAAACAAUGGCUUAUCCCCCAGUAGUGUUUGUAAUUCCAGAGCAGAUUUUGGGAGGGUUCGAAUGAGGUCUUACCUUGGAUGUUAGAUAUAUCAUGGAAUGCACAGAAUCGCCAGCUAUGCUUUGAUCUACACAUUUUGAUUUGGCACAUGUAUUUUUCAGAGUAGCAUCAACAUAUUUCAGAGCAGAAUUCUCCUGAGAUUCUCUUCACAAUCUGCUGGGCAAAUCAAGGCUUCCUAAGGUCACAGAAAUGUAUUCGAUGGAUGCUUUAUGUGAAGGUCUAUCAGACUCCCGCGCUGCCAAUGGCACUGGACAAGAGUGAAGAUCUAAAACGUGCCUCUCGCUGUCACACUCAUCACAGUGAAUGAUAGCCUGCAGUCUUGUAUGCGUUGAUGGAUCACAGUGUUUUUAGUAUGUAGAGUGGCUAUUCAGGAAACUGAAGUGGAAGCUAAAGUGGAUUUUCCCUGAAGCCCCAGGACUUCUUAAGCAAAUGAGGUGACUUGUGGAUGGGGAAUUGCCUGUUUGGGUCCUCAGAAGACCUUCUACAGGAAGCUGAACAAGAGGACCUUUUAAUCCCUGUUUUAUUAGCUGUGAUAAGGGCUUCAUUUUCCACUCCUUGGAUGGGAAUUUCUCGCACUUGAAGGAAAUUCUGGAGAAGAUUGAGAGGCAAAAGCAGGGAUCAGCUUCUCCUCAGCAUGAGAAUGUGGUAUAUGGGACAUAAAGUUCUCUUUUGUAUCUCGAACCCAGAGUUCUCCAUUUUUCUUGGAGAUUGUGGGGAAGCUUCUCCACAAUGCGACUGAUUGCUCUUCUGUGAAGAAGACUGAUACUGGAGGUAAACGGCCCUUGAGCUGUUUACGAAGGAAAUCUCCAGACUCCACCAAUCGCUGAUAGUUUUUACGUGAAACUAUCGGACUGCAUCGGCUCUGAUCUUUAAAUGCACGCAGCAGAGCGUGUCUGCCGGCUUCGCGUAUGACGAGGCUGCGAAUCUGCACGUUUUACCCCAUCAGGCCCAGAAAUGUCUUUCUGGUUGUUCAUUUUGAUGUGACUCUGGCAUUUAUACUGUACCACCCCAAGUAUGGAUUUUCCUUCUUGGACUGGGGGUUUGCAGCAAAAAACGCACAAGAAAAAUAACAGAGCAUCAAAUACACAAGUGCAUUCAAUUAUUCGCUUCAGUGGAGAUGUAUCUAGUGAGACGCUGAAUCACCAAUAUUAAUGUUUUGUGUUUGCAGUCUGUUUCACAAAAUUCUAAUGCGUUAUACAGCUUUUUUGUUACAGAUUGAAAUGUCUGUAUUGCAUCCAUCCAUCCAUCCAUCUUCCAUUCAAUCACUCUUUGCAAGGCUUGAAGCACAAGAUAACAGCACAAUGUAAGGACACACCUUAGAUGAGUGUGUGUACUGCCUGUAGUGAGUUAUUGUCAGGGGUGCACAUAACCGGUACGCAAGUACGCAUUCACCUUUAAGAACGAUACGUGCGUUGUUACUAACGAUUGUUAGUAAAAGCACAAACACGUACUUAUUUUAUGUGCUUUCGCGCUGCUAUGACAAGAAAAUACCUUGUAUUUUAACCCGUAUACCGCAAAUUAAGUCGAGUUAGCAUACAAAGAUUAAAAUACAUUAUAUUUUGUUUUCAUACAUAUAUCUAUAUCCAGCUACUGAAUUAUCUUGUACUGAAUACUAACGAUUGUUUAUUGCUGUGUUUGUCUGCCAGUAUUUAGACAUGACAUCAUGAAAUUGGUUUGUGGCAGCACCAUAAAAUAUUUUAAUAAUGCACAAGGUUUACCUUGUGACUUUUAUAGUACGAACGUGCUUACACCGCUCUGCGGUGAACGGGCUAAUUCUUUUUACCGAUUGUAAUAGAAAAAAAUCGGCUCCACCGUGGUUCAUCACCGGUUCAGCAUUUCUCUUACCCGAUAUGACAGUGAGAAAAAAUGUGAUAAGGAGAAAACUAGGUCUGGUAAUAAGAAGGGGAUGGCGUUCACUGGCUCGUUCGUUCUCUAAUAUAGCGGCGCAAACAGCCGAAGGGCACAGUCAGGAGAAACACAGCUCAGCACAGGCAGUUCCUAACACAGUCUAGGCGCAUCAGCUGUGUUCCUGCUUUUAACCUCGUUAUCGUGUUCGGGUCGGCACCGACCCCUUUCUAAGUUUAAA